rnacentral:lncRNA from 1 species
CUGAUAAGGUCUUGCAUAACAAGAUAAUUCCCAUGGUGAAAGUACGCAGCAUCACACUCUAGAAGAAGUAAUGUGGGAAUUAGAGGACAAAAUGAGGAAAAAGUAUUAAGACUUAUUCGAGACAAAUUUGGGGACAAAAUGUUUUUAGGUGGGAGGGAUGUAACACCCCGCCUAUCACUGUACUAAAAUGCUUUAUAAACUCUAUUUAUUUGAGCUUUUGGUUGCUUUAAACUUAAAUUGAUUUACACUGUUUAACAUUUUGAGAUUCAUAAUUUUGAUCUAUGUGCAUGUCCUGUCGCACGCAAGUGGGCCGUCUGUGCAUCACUUCAUGCACAGACUAGUGCCGCACACUAUGCACAUGCUGUCUAUGUAGUAGGCCUCGUGGACAGACCCUAUGCGCUUGGGACCUGUGUGCAAUAGGUCUGCGCGCGUGGCGCCCAUUACGCCUACGCAUGCGGCAACAAGCCUGUGCGCCAGCAAGUUAGCUUGCAGCGUGCCUGUCGGGCAUUGCCACCUCAAGCAGUGCACUGUCGUUGCCUUGGGCAGUGCGUCGCUGCCAUCGGUGAGGAAAAUUUUUUCUCUCGUUUUUCAUUUCGAGAAUCUUUUCUCCUCUCUCUUCACCGAAUUUCACCACUUUGCAUGAAUCCAACGGUUCUUAAAUUCUAUAAAUUGCGCUUCCCCUUCUCUUCCUCUCCACACUUCUAUUUCUUCCAUUUGUCAAAGGUUUAGAGAGAGAGAGAGAUAGUAAAUUAGUGAGAGAAGAAGAGAAAGAAAGGAAAACGAUGAAGAAAAAAAUAUCAAGGUUUUGAUAAG